rnacentral:tRNA from 1 species
GCGUUCGUGGCGUAGUGGUCAGCACGCUGGGCGCGUAUUCCAGAGGUCCGUGGUUCGAGUCCCGGCGAGGGCA